AACGAACGCUGGCGGCAUGCCUAACACAUGCAAGUCGAACGAGACCUUCGGGUCUAGUGGCUCACGGGUGCGUAACGCGUGGGAACCUUCCCUUAGGUUCGGAAUAACUCCCCGAAAGGGGUGCUAAUACCGGAUAAUGUCUUCGGACCAAAGAUUUAUCGCCUUUGGAUGGGCCCGCGUUGGAUUAGCUAGUUGGUAGGGUAAAAGCCUACCAAGGCGACGAUCCAUAGCUGGUCUGAGAGGAUGAUCAGCCACACUGGGACUGAGACACGGCCCAGACUCCUACGAGAGGCAGCAGUGGAGAAUAUUGGACAAGGGGCGAAAGCCUGAUCCAGCAAUGCCGCGUGAGUGAUGAAGGCCUUAGGGUUGUAAAGCUCUUUUACCCGGGAUGAUAAUGACAGUACCGGGAGAAUAAGCUCCGGCUAACUCCG
rnacentral:rRNA from 1 species